UGGGGAAUAUUGCACAAUGGGCGCAAGCCUGAUGCAGCCAUGCCGCGUGUAUGAAGAAGGCCUUCGGGUUGUAAAGUACUUUCAGUCGGGAGGAAGGUGUCAAGGUUAAUAACCUUGGCAAUUGACGUUACCGACAGAAGAAGCACCGGCUAACUCCGUGCCAGCAGCCGCGGUAAUACGGAGGGUGCAAGCGUUAAUCGGAAUUACUGGGCGUAAAGCGCACGCAGGCGGUUGAUUGAGUCAGAUGUGAAAUCCCCGGGCUUAACCCGGGAAUUGCAUCUGAUACUGGUCAGCUAGAGUCUUGUAGAGGGGGGUAGAAUUCCAUGUGUAGCGGUGAAAUGCGUAGAGAUGUGGAGGAAUAACGGUGGCGAAGGCGGCCCCCUGGACAAAGACUGACGCUCAGGUGCGAAAGCGUGGGGAGCAAACAGG
rnacentral:rRNA from 1 species